GGGGGUGUAGCUCAGUGGUAGAGCAUCUGCCUUUUAAGCAGGUGGUCGAAGGUUCAAUCCCUUCCACCCUCA
rnacentral:tRNA from 2 species